UGGCAGAGUGCAAUACAUUCAGAGAGCUUUACAAAACAAAGCUUUCAGCUCUGAGUCAGCAACAAACUCAUCUUUGUUCAUGUGGUUCUAUUAAGGAAAGAAGGCCAAUUUUAUGCAGGUUUCUAUGGCCGCCUUGACAAAGGCAUCUCUCUGUGUGCAAGCCCUCUGGCAGGGACAGCCGCCUCUGAGAUCAUCGUUUUUAGCAAUCACCAGCUGCAAUGAAGAUCAGAGAAAGAAAAUCAUAAACUGGUUUAUAUAGUGAUUUUCCUGAGGAUGCUGAAACACGGAUUCAUUCUCUGAUCACACUUUGAGGAAAUGCUGAGCAAGGUCAAUGGGGAUUAACAACGGAAGGCACCAGAAGCUCCAGUACUCUGGAUAGUGAUGAAGUUUCCAAGAGUAAUUUCAGGUAUUAAUGAACCUCCUGGCAAACCAGCCUGAUGAGUAACUACAUGAAUAAUAACAGGAGUAACGCUAAGCCCAUCUCCGCCCACAGGGCUUAUGGUCUACAUAAACAUCACUUUAUUAUUUGGCUGUCUUCAUUAACAUGACUUUACUAUUUUUAUCAACAUGAAUUUACUAAUCUAGGAAACUCUUUUCUAAAAAAAGUUAAAGAUGCAAAUAACUUUAUUAUUGGAGAGCCAUUAUUUGAAAAAGUUUAGUUUUGAGCCCCCAAAAUUGUUGACCCUUGUGACUUGUGCCCAUCUUUCAGUUGUACAAGAAUUUCUAAAUUAGGAUCUCUAGUAACUCACUUCAUACUUAAAACUGAACAAAAGCAUACUUAAAAAACAUAAAGUCCUCAUUACAUCUGGUAAGAAUGUGUGAAAUCUGUAAAGCCAAAUAUAAUAUAAAGGCCACAUUAGGAAUAUCCUUUUCUUGGGAUUUAUUUAUAAGAUAUGCUACAAAUUUUUCUCUUUGUGUAUUAUAUUUAAAAUUAGACAAUUUGCAAAAGUUUGGGGGAGGGAAGAGGCUGGUGACUUCUGAGUUCAAUUAUAAUAUAUUUUUAAUUUUCAUCUGAACAUGUUGCAUUUAUUUACCUGUAUUCCUUAAAGGCAUGUUUUGAUAACUAUAGUGAUUUUUUCUGUUUUUUUUAUUCUUAAGUCACUAAUUUAUUUAACAACUAUCAUGUACACUGAUAAUGUUCUACAAUGUGAACACAAAUCAAGUAAAAUUUGGUUUCUACCUUCAAUUGGUUUAUACUCCAUGAAGAAAAACAGCUCAGCAAUGAAGAGUUUUUGCAGCAUGGAGAGUGCUCUGAUAGAUGCUGUAGUAAACAGAAUAAAUCUCUAUCCAGUUUGAGAGGUGACCAGAUCUUCCCAGAGAAGAUGAAAUAAGAAAUGAGUUCUGAAAGAUUAGUUGCAAUUGUAUAGGAAUCAUAGAAUUUAGCUAAAUAAGAUUCUCAAGCCUUAAAGUGCAUAUGAAGCAUCUAGGAAUUUUGUUAAAAUGCAAUUGCAUCCAUUAUUUAUGGAGUGCUGAAAAUUCCAAUUUCUAACACACCCUCAGGUGGUGUCAAUAGUGCUAGUC